UAACUUUCAAAUAUCUACAGAAAAGCACCAGAAAUUUUCUGCUUGUGUUGGUGUUGAUUCGCAAAAAUUUUGGAAGAUAGUUUUGUUUCUGUUCUGCAUACACGUUCUUACAAUAGUAUGCAGAUGUAAUGUUCGCUCCGAAGAGAACCGCUGACUGACAAAAAAAGAGAUUAUUCAAAGCAUUUUUAUUUAUUGAAUAUUGUUUUAUUUUGUAAUAUCGACAAAAUUUUCAGGGUGAUAUCAUCCUGCGCCCUAAUAAUUAAAAUAACAUAGAAAAUAUUAAGAAGAAGUGUAAAAAAAGAAUUUGCAAACACGUGGAUAAUUUCUUUACAAAAUAAAAAGUAGUAAAUAUUAAGUUUUUUUUUGGUUAUUAAGUUGUUAAUGUCAUGUAAGAAGUGGACCUCAUUGAAAAAGCCACCGUUAUCUAGGCCCGAAUUAGACGUUGUUGAAAGUGCUGCUGCUAUACCGUUACUUUUGUCACGCAAAGAUGUUUCUGCGGAGGCUGUAACUGGCACAGAAAAACAUUAACCUUUUUAGUGCCUUUAUUGGAAACGUUAAGUCGCUGUGGACUCCUAAAGAAAUCGGAGCUAUAAUUAUCUCACCCACAAGAGAAUUGGCUUUACAAAUUUCGGAGGUGGAGGCAGCAUAGAAGAGGAUAUAAAAUCUGUACAGAAUGAGGAGCCAACCACAUCAACCAAUCAGCAUCUUUACCAUAAAGAUUUAAAUUGGUGGGAACGUUUCAUCGUUUUUUCAAAUAAGGUAAAAAAUUACUGGACUUGAAUAGUUAUACUGUUAUUGUUCUUAGCAAGUUUGUUGCAUCGCUUAAAUGGUACCGUCAGCUCGCUUCCUUUGGUACUCUCUGUUUGCGAACUUGGCCAGUCUUUGCGGCUUAGCUGGCGUGUGAUCUUUUGAUAUCCUUAAAGCAAUUAAAAAAAUCGAUAAUGUACACCAUGCAACUUUAAUAUCUAUUUGUGGACCAUAUCAAUGCCCGGAAUGCGGAAAAUUUUGCAGAGAUCGCCGAGCUCUAACCAAUCAUCAGGUGUUAAAAGCAUACUUUGGUGUUUCAGACAUAGCUACAACGUAUUGAUAAACUUAAAUGUAUGAUAGACGUAUGAGACGCUUUCAAGCAUUGUAAUCGCAGGUUUUUGCUAUACGGAACAAUAACUGAAAUGUAGUGACUUUGAAGGAUCGGGUGGAGCAUGUACGUGCUUUUGACCGCCGCAAUAUUAUUAUUAAAAAA